CACUGCCUUGCGUGGCAGGAGUAAGAGCCAGUGUGAAGUGUAGGAGUUGGAAGGAAGUUGGAAAUCAGCCCCUUGUGGCCCUUCACUUUGAGAUUCACAAAGAAAAAAGGGAUGUCUCCUCUCUGAAAGGUAAGAGUUUAAAUUCAUCUGAACUCAUUAUAAUCUGUUUUAGCUCUAGUGGAAUAUUUCCAUAAUGUAUGUAAAUUAUAUUUGAAUUCUUGUGAAUCCGUGCUCUAAGGCAAAGUCAAACACCCAGUCUUACUCCUGAGGUGGAGCCUUCAGAGGCGGAAUACUGCCUAGUGCCCUCUGAAGGGGCGAUUAUUAGAGUUAUAUAUGAUGGAGAAGAUUGCCUGGAAACUAGAGAAGCACCAACUACAGUUUUGUCCUUUUUCUCCUUAGCAAAAUGGAACUUCCUUCCUGCAUCUGAAGACCUUCCUCACUACAGGUUAUUCCAAAGGAGAAGAAGCUUGACUUCCAAAUACCAUCACUGGAAAUAAGGGUGUCUGAAGGAGACAGGGAUGACUGAGUGCAUCUCAUGUGUGGGAUGAAUCUGCUGUAUUAAGCAGUUCUUCAUGAGUGAGAAGGGGUUACCUCCUUCUAGCACUCCACAUCUCUACUUCCUGCUGCUGCUCUGUCCGAAACCAUAGUAUCCUCACCAGGACCAUACAGGGAACAAAUGCAAGCCACCCAUAGUCCCCUUAGCUCUGUUCAAGACAUGGCACAGAAAAAGAUGAUGUUCAAAGAUGAGAGGGACAAAAAUAAAUAAAUAAAUAUAUAAAAAUUAAAAAAGAGCUC
rnacentral:lncRNA from 1 species